UACGUAGGGUGCGAGCGUUGUCCGGAAUUACUGGGCGUAAAGAGCUCGUAGGUGGUUUGUCGCGUUGUUCGUGAAAACCGGGGGCUUAACCCUCGGCGUGCGGGCGAUACGGGCAGACUUGAGUACUGCAGGGGAGACUGGAAUUCCUGGUGUAGCGGUGAAAUGCGCAGAUAUCAGGAGGAACACCGGUGGCGAAGGCGGGUCUCUGGGCCGUAACUGACGCUGAGGAGCGAAAGCGUGGGGAGCGAACAGG
rnacentral:rRNA from 1 species